rnacentral:rRNA from 1 species
AGAAGUCGUNACAAGGUUUCCGUAGGUGAACCUGCGGAAGGAUCAUUG